rnacentral:lncRNA from 1 species
GGAGGGUCAGGGGUUAUAGGAGCAGUAGUAGUUGGAGUGUCAUGUGUUAUAGGGGCAGUAGUAGUUGGAGUGUCAGGGGUUAUAGGAGCAGUAGUAGUUGGAGUGUCAGGGGUUAUAGGAGCAGUAGUAGUUGGAGUGUCAGGGGUUAUAGGGGCAGUAGUAGUUGGAGGGUCAGGGGUUAUAGGGGCAGUAGUAGUUGGAGGGUCAGGGGUUAUAGGGGCAGUAGUAGUUGGAGGGUCAGGGGUUAUAGAGGCAGUAGUAGUUGGAGGGUCAGGGGUUAUAGGGGCAGUAGUAGUUGGAGGGUCAGGGGUUAAAGGGGCAGUAGAGGUUGGAGUGUCAGGGGUUAUAGGAGCAGUAGAAGUUGGAGUGUCAGGGGUUAUAGGAGCAGUAGUAGUUGGAGUGUCAGGGGUUAUAGGAGCAGUAGUAGUUGGAGUGUCAGGGGUUAUAGGAGCAGUAGUAGUUGGAGUGUCAGGGGUUAUAGGGGCAGUAGUAGUUGGAGUGUCAGGGGUUAUAGGAGCAGUAGUAGUUGGAGUGUCGGGGGUUAUAGGGGCAGUAGUAGUUGGAGUGUCAGGGGUUAUAGGGGCAGUAGUAGUUGGAGUGUCAGGGGUUAUAGGGGCAGUAGUAGUUGGAGUGUCAGGGGUUAUAGGGGCAGUAGUAGUUGGAGUGUCAGGGGUUAUAGGGGCAGUAGUAGAUGGAGGGUCAGGGGUUAUAGGGGCAGUAGUAGUUGGAGUGUUGGGGGUUAUAGGGGCAGUAGUAGUUGGAGUGUCAGGGGUUAUAGAAGCAGUAGUAGUUGGAGGGUCAGGGGUUAUAGGGGCAGUAGUAGUUGGAGUGUCAGGGGUUAUAGAGGCAGUAGUAGUUGGAGUGUUAAGGGUUAUAGGAGCAGUAGUAGUUAGGGUGUCAGGGGUUAUAGAGGCAGUAGUAGUUGGAGUGUCAGGGGUUAUAGGAGCAGUAGUAGUUGGAGUGUCAGGGGUUAUAGGGGCAGUAGUAGUUGGAGUGUCAGGGGUUAUAGGGGCAGUAGUAGUUGGAGGGUCAGGGGUUAUAGGGGCAGUAGUAGUUGGAGGGUCAGGGGUUAUAGAGGCAGUAGUAGUUGGAGGGUCAGGGGUUAAAGGGGCAGUAUAAGUUGGAGUGUCAGGGGUUAUAGGAGCAGUAGUAGUUGGAGUGUCAGGGGUUAUAGGAGCAGUAGUAGUUGGAGUGUCAGGGGUUAUAGGAGCAGUAGUAGUUGGAGUGUCAGGGGUUAUAGGAGCAGUAGUAGUUGGAGUGUCAGGGGGUUAUAGGGGCAGUAGUAGUUGGAGUGUCAGGGGUUAUAGGAGCAGUAGUAGUUGGAGUGUCAGGGGUUAUAGGGGCAGUAGUAGUUGGAGUGUCAGGGGUUAUAGGAGCAGUAGUAGUUGGAGUGUCGGGGGUUAUAGGGGCAGUAGUUGUUGGAGGGUCAGGGGUUAUAGGGGCAGUAGUAGUUGGAGUGUCAGGGGUUAUAGGGGCAGUAGUAGUUGGAGUGUCAGGGGUUAUAGGGGCAGUAGUAGUUGGAGUGUCAGGGGUUAUAGGGGCAGUAGUAGUUGGAGGGUCAGGGGUUAUAGGGGCAGUAGUAGUUGGAGUGUCGGGGGUUAUAGGGGCAGUAGUAGUUGGAGUGUCAGGGGUUAUAGGAGCAGUAGUAGUUGGAGGGUCAGGGGUUAUAGAGGCAGUAGUAGUUGGAGUGUCAGGGGUUAUAGAGGCAGUAGUAGUUGGAGUGUUAAGGGUUAUAGGAGCAGUAGUAGUUAGGGUGUCAGAUGUUAUAGAGGCAGUAGUAGUUGGAGUGUCAGGGGUUAUAGAGGCAGUAGUAGUUGGAGGGUCAGGGGUUAUAGGGGCAGUAGUAGUUGGAGUGUCGGGGGUUAUAGGGGCAGUAGUAGUUGGAGUGUCAGGGGUUAUAGGAGCAGUAGUAGUUGGAGGGUCAGGGGUUAUAGGGGCAGUAGUAGUUGGAGUGUCAGGGGUUAUAGAGGCAGUAGUAGUUGGAGUGUUAAGGGUUAUAGGAGCAGUAGUAGUUGGAGUGUCAGGGGUUAUAGGGACAGUAGUAGUUGGAGUGUCGGGGGUUAUAGGGGCAGUAGUAGUUGGAGGGUCAGGGGUUAUAGGGGCAGUAGUAGUUGGAGUGUCGGUGGUUAUAGGGGCAGUAGUAGUUGGAGUGUCAGGGGUUAUAGGAGCAAUAGUAGUUGGAGGGUCAGGGGUUAUAGGGGCAGUAGUAGUUGGAGUGUCAGGGGUUAUAGAGGCAGUAGUAGUUGGAGUGUUAAGGG